rnacentral:tRNA from 1 species
GCCCCGUUGGUGGAAUAGGUAGACACGGCAGUCUUAGAAACUGCUCGCUUAGGCGGUAGCUGUUCGACUCAGCUACGGGGCA